rnacentral:rRNA from 1 species
UACGUAGGGGGCAAGCGUUGUCCGGAAUCAUUGGGCGUAAAGAGCGUGUAGGCGGCCAGAUAAGUCCGCUGUGAAAUCUCGAGGCUCAACUUCGAGCUGUCGGUGGAAACUGUCUGGCUAGAGUCCGGAAGAGGAGAAUGGAAUUCCUGGUGUAGCGGUGAAAUGCGCAGAGAUGCGGAGGAACACCGAUGGCGAAGGCAGCCCCCCUGGGCUAGCACUGACGCUCAGGCACGAAAGCGUGGGGAGCAAACAGG